GAUGAACGCUGGCGGCGUGCCUAAUACAUGCAAGUCGAGCGAACGGACGAGAAGCUUGCUUCUCUGAUGUUAGCGGCGGACGGGUGAGUAACACGUGGAUAACCUACCUAUAAGACUGGGAUAACUUCGGGAAACCGGAGCUAAUACCGGAUAAUAUUUUGAACCGCAUGGUUCAAAAGUGAAAGACGGUCUUGCUGUCACUUAUAGAUGGAUCCGCGCUGCAUUAGCUAGUUGGUAAGGUAACGGCUUACCAAGGCAACGAUGCAUAGCCGACCUGAGAGGGUGAUCGGCCACACUGGAACUGAGACACGGUCCAGACUCCUACGGGAGGCAGCAGUAGGGAAUCUUCCGCAAUGGGCGAAAGCCUGACGGAGCAACGCCGCGUGAGUAAUGAAGGUCUUCGGAUCUUAAAACUCUGUUAUUAGGGAAGAACAUAUGUGUAAGUAACUGUGCACAUCUUGACGGUACCUAAUCAGAAAGCCACGGCUAACUACGUG
rnacentral:rRNA from 1 species